rnacentral:rRNA from 1 species
CCGAAGCGAAAGCGAGUCUUAAGAGGGCGAAUAGUUAGUGUACGUAGACCCGAAACCGCAGUGAUCUACCCAUGUCCAGGUUGAAGCGCAGGUAAAAUUGCGUGGAGGACCGAACCUGUGAGCGUUGAAAAGCUUUAGGAUGAGAUGUGGGUAGAGGUGAAAUUCCAAUCGAACGCGGAGAUAGCUGGUUCUCCCCGAAAUAGCUUUAGGGCUAGCCUCAAGUAGUAAGUAUAGGCGGUAGAGCACUGAUCGGGCUAGGGGCCAUAAAGGUUACCGAACCCUGUCAAACUCCGAAUGGUUAUACUGUAGAGCUUGGGAGUCAGACUACGAGUGAUAAGAUCCGUGGUCAAAAGGGAAACAGCCCAGACCACCAGCUAAGGUCCCCAAUGUCGUACUAAGUGGAAAAGGAUGUGGGGUCUCUAAAACAACCAGGAUGUUGGCUUAGAAGCAGCCACCAUUUAAAGAGUGCGUAAUAGCUCACUGGUCGAGAGACCCUGCGCCGAAGAUUACCGGGGCUAAAGUACGAAACCGAAGCUGUGGCUACGACGUAAGUCGUGGGGUAGGGGAGCGUUCUGUGAGGGCUGAAGUCGUUCUGUAAGGAACGGUGGACUUCACAGAAGUGAGAAUGUUGGUAUGAGUAGCGAAAAGAAUGGUGAGAAUCCAUUCCACCGAAAGCAUAAGGAUUCCUGGGCAACGAUCGUCGUCCCAGGGUAAGUCGGGACCUAAUCCGAGGCAUAGAGCGUAGGAGAUGGACAACUGGCAGAUAUUCCAGUACCGGUAAUGAUUGUUUGAGCGAUGGAGUGACACAGGAGGGCAGGCAGGCAGGAGAUUGGUUGUUCCUGUACAAGCGUGUAGGAUGGGACGUAGGCAAAUCCGCGUCCUGUGAGUCUGAGGCGUGAUGUGGAGGUUCCGGAAACGGAACUGAAGCUGCUGACCCCACACUGUCGAGAAAAGCUUCUAGUUAGAGAAUUACCGCCCGUACCGUAAACCGACACAGGUAUGCGGGGAGAGAAUCCUAAGGUGCGCGGGAGAACCCUCGUUAAGGAACUCGGCAAAAUGUACCCGUAACUUCGGGAUAAGGGUAGCCGCUGUUGUGAAGUCUGAACAGAUGGAGCAUGAGGCGGUCGCAGAGAAGAGGCCCAAGCGACUGUUUACCACAAACACAGGUGCCUGCUAAAGAGAAAUCUGACGUAUAGGUGCUGACACCUGCCCAGUGCCGGAAGGUUAAGGAAGGAUGUCCGGAGCAAUCCAAAGCAUUCGACCGAAGCCCCGGUGAACGGCGGCCGUAACUAUAACGGUCCUAAGGUAGCGAAAUUCCUUGUCGGGUAAGUUCCGACCCGCACGAAAGGUGUAACGACUUGCGCACUGUCUCAACGAGGGACCCGGUGAAAUUGAAGUACCUGUGAAGAUGCAGGUUACCCGCGACUGGACAGAAAGACCCCAUGGAGCUUUACUGUAACCUGACAUUGGGUUCUGAUACAUCACGUACAGGAUAGGUGGGAGGCAUGGAAGCGAGGACGCUAGUCUUCGUGGAGCCGCCGUUGGGAUACCACCCUUGAUGUAUCGGAAUUCUAACCGUAGGAGUAACGAAACUCGGGACAGUGUCAGGCGGGCAGUUUGACUGGGGCGGUCGCCUCCCAAAGAGUAACGGAGGCGCCCAAAGGUUCCCUCAGCGCGGCCGGAAAUCGCGCGAAGAGUGUAAAGGCAGAAGGGAGCUUGACUGAGAGCCAAACACGGCGAUCAGGUACGAAAGUAGGGCUUAGUGAUCCGGUGGCAUCCAAGUGGAAGGGCCAUCGCUCAACGGAUAAAAGCUACCCUGGGGAUAACAGGCUAAUCUCUCCCAAGAGUCCAUAUCGACGGGGAGGUUUGGCACCUCGAUGUCGGCUCAUCACAUCCUGGGGCUGAAGUCGGUCCCAAGGGUUGGGCUGUUCGCCCAUUAAAGUGGUACGUGAGCUGGGUUCAGAACGUCGUGAGACAGUUCGGUCCCUAUCCAUCGCGGGCGCAAGAGAUUUGAAGGGGGCUGCUCCUAGUACGAGAGGACCGGAGUGGACGAACCAAUGGUGUACCAAUUAUCUCGCCAGAGGUAUAGUUGGGUAGCUACGUUCGGAAAGGAUAAACGCUGAAAGCAUCUAAGCGUGAAACCAGCCUUAAGAUGAGAUCUCUCAUAGAGUAAUCUAGUAAGACACCUUGG